UCGCGGCUUAUCACCGGCAGUCCCCUUAGAGAGCCCAACUGAAUGCUGGCAACUAAGGACAAGGGUUGCGCUCGUUGCGGGACUUAACCCAACAUGUCACCACACGAGCUGACGACAGCCAUGCAGCACCUGUCUUCCGGUCGUAUUGCUACGAAAACCGUAUCUCUACGGCGGUCCGGAGAUGUCAAACCCAGGUAAGGUUCUUCGCGUUGCUUCGAAUUAAACCACAUGAUCCACCGCUUGUGCGGGCCCCCGUCAAUUCCUUUGAGUUUUAGUCUUGCGACCGUACUUCCCAGGCGGGGUACUUAUUGCGUUAGCGCCGGUUCAGCGGGGGUCAAGACCCACCAAACCUAGUACCCAUCGUUUACGGCGUGGACUAC
rnacentral:misc_RNA from 1 species